rnacentral:rRNA from 1 species
ACACUGCAUAUCAUUGCGGAGGAUCCCUCCGUCAGUGUCUGAUAGUGUCAAGAAGAAUUGCUUGUGCACACUCUGGAGCUAUAUAAUAUAUACACCUGUGAACCAACUGUAGUCAGGAGAAAUCCUAACUAUGAUUACCCUAUAUAACUCUUAUUGUAUGUUACAUAGAACGAUCUCAUAUUGAAACUUUGUUUUCUGACAAGUUUCUCUUAAUUAAAAAUAUACCACUUUUCACCACCGAACCCUUGGCUUCUUGCUUCAUUAAAAACCCCACCAAAUGGCAUAAGUAAUGGUAAUUUGCAAAAUCCCAUGAAUCCUCCAAUCCUUUAACGCCCCUUGGCCCCUUUGGUAUUUCGAAGGGCAUGGCUGGUUUAAAAGUCAUAAAUUCCCACCUUUCCAAUUUUUGGAUUUGGCCAGGCUGGAAGGUAAAAUUGCUGGUUAAAUAAAUCCUGAACUGGCUCUCUUUAAAACUAAUAAUAAGAAAUGGUAAAAAAUGGCUACGGUUGGUGGGGAUAAAAUGUCCUACCCCUAAAACCGGAAGGGGGAAUCCUAGCCUGGAUGGUACUAACUUAUAAAAAUCAUGGCCCAUAUAUUCUAGCAUAUAAGUGGCAUAUAUGGACCCAUUUGACCUCAAAUCAGGGAAGACUACCCCCUGAACUUAAACCAUAUCAAAAACGGAAGGAAA